rnacentral:rRNA from 1 species
GCCCUGUGACCAUGAGUUUAACGGCCGCGGUAUUUUGACCGUGCAAAGGUAGCGCAAUCACUUGUCUUUUAAAUGAAAACCUGUAUGAAUGGCAUAACGAGGGCUUAACUGUCUCCCUUUUCCAGUCAAUGAAAUUGAUCUCCCCGUGCAGAAGCGGGGAUUAAAACAUAAGACGAGAAGACCCUAUGGAGCUUUAGACAAAGAGCAGACCAUGUUAAACACACCUAAAUAAAGGACAAAACCAAUUGGCCCCUGCCCUUAUGUCUUUGGUUGGGGCGACCGCGGGGAAACAAAAAACCCCCAUGUGGACUGAAGACAUUCCUCUUCACAACCAAGAGCCACAGCUCUAAGCAACAGAACAUCUGACCAACAAGAUCCGGCACUAAGCCGAUCAACGGACCGAGUUACCCUAGGGAUAACAGCGCAAUCUCCUUUUAGAGCCCCCAUCGACAAGGAGGUUUACGACCUCGAUGUUGGAUCAGGACAUCCUAAUGGUGCAGCCGCUAUUAAGGGUUCGUUUGUUCAACGAUUAAAGUCCUACGUGAUCUGAUUUCAGACCGGAGAUAGCCUGUUUAUCAAAAACAUAUACGUGAUCUGAUUUCAGACCGGAGC